GACAGCAGCCGCCGCGGUAAUACAGAGGGUGCGAGCGUUAAUCGGAUUUACUGGGCGUAAAGCGUGCGUAGGCGGCUUCUUAAGUCGGAUGUGAAAUCCCUGAGCUUAACUUAGGAAUUGCAUUCGAUACUGGGAAGCUAGAGUAUGGGAGAGGAUGGUAGAAUUCCAGGUGUAGCGGUGAAAUGCGUAGAGAUCUGGAGGAAUACCGAUGGCGAAGGCAGCCAUCUGGCCUAAUACUGACGCUGAGGUACGAAAGCAUGGGGAGCAAACAGGAUUAGAUACCCCGGUAGUCCCUGUCUCUUAUAA
rnacentral:rRNA from 1 species